rnacentral:lncRNA from 1 species
AUUCCUUUCCAAAUCUCUGAUAGCUUCAGAUCCCUUAGAAACCAGUCUAAUCUUUUAUUUUCUACUUAUAAGUCAAUCCAAUAAUUAAUUUUUUUUCCCAAGGAACUUUCUUCCUCUUGCUUCAGUCACAAACACUUCUUUUUCACCUGCUUCGUUUUAGAAAUCCCUUGUUAAUAUUUUCUUUGAUCUUAGCCUUCCUUUCCUUAGGAGCUUGUGUCAGGGCCAUGCACACUGAUGGUGAAGUGAUGCAUUUUAUAAAACAUAUCAGAUUCCUCACCUUUCUCAUUUAUUGCUAGUAGAAUUGUCACAGUAAUAAUGCAAUGAGUAUAAAUAAUGGUGCUUCUCUCUUCUCAUUUUUUCCUCCCUCAAAUCAUAUCUGACUCUUUUUACAUCUUUUCUCACAUCUCGUUUCCCCAGAUUUCCUUUGCGGUAGGAGAGGAAAUUUUUACAAAAGAGUCAAACACAGAUGCUAGGAAGAAGAAGGAAUUUCCCUCUGAGUCAUGUAAUAAGGGGUUGGGUGAAAGGAGAAAAAUUGAGACGAGUCAUGCCUUCUCUGGCUGUGAAGGUAAGGCAAACCCACCACCAGUUGUUAGUGCUUUGGUCAUCAGACUCCACACAGAAUAUAUUCACUACUGCUGCCACCACAGCACCCUCUGACAUGGGCUACUGUGGAGCCUGGGGAGUCUCUUCUGGUGAAUAAUCUUGGCUUCUAUUCUAAUAAGAAAGAAGAAAGUCAGCAUUUCAUGUCCCAAGAGCAUGAACGUCUUGCCCUGCUUUGACUCAGGCAAAGAACAUCUCCAGACCAAGUGUCCUCUGGCGGUAUGUAAGUAUCCUUACAAUUUCUAUCGCAUGGCCUGCCCCGCAGUCUCUUCGCCAGUACCAUUCCAUGAUUAGUAAAUGCACAGACGUAAAAGAAACCUGCCAGUGCCUUGAAGUGAAAUCUCAGCACAUCAUAACACAUCACACUGAAAGCAGUGUAAUAAAAACAGGUAUCCAGGUUUAAGGAAAUAAGAG